AUGGCUACCACCAUCAUCAUCAUCACCACCACCAGGAUCAUUAGUACCAUCAUCAUCAUCAUUACCAUCACUACCAACAUCACCAUUGUUCCCCCAUCAUCAUCACCAUCUCAUCACCAUCACUACCACCACCAUCACCAUCACCACCACCAUCACCAUCAUCAUCACCAUCUCAUCAUCUCAUCACCAUCACCACCACCAUCACCAUCACCAUCACCAUCAUCAUCAUCACCAUCUCAUCACCAUCACUACCACCACCAUCACCAUCACCACCACCAUCACCAUCAUCAUCAUCACCAUCUCAUCACCAUCACUACCACCACCACCAUCACCAUCACCACCACCAUCACCAUCACCAUCAUCAUCAUCACCAUCUCAUCACCAUCACUACCACCACCAUCACCAUCACCACCACCAUCACCAUCAUCAUCAUCACCAUCUCAUCACCAUCACUACCACCACCAUCACCAUCACCACCACCAUCACCAUCAUCAUCAUCACCAUCUCAUCACCAUCACUACCACCACCAUCACCAUCACCACCACCAUCACCAUCAUCAUCACCAUCUCACCAUCUCAUCACCAUCACUACCACCAUCAUCAUCAUCACCACCACCAUCACCAUCACCAUCAUCAUCAUCAUCAUCACCAUCUCAUCACCAUCACUACCACCACCAUCACCAUCACCACCACCAUCACCAUCAUCACCAUCUCAUCACCAUCACCAUCACCACCACCAUCACCAUCAUCAUCAUCACCAUCACUACCACCACCAUCAUUACCAUCAUCACCACUAUCACAUCAUCACCAUCCCCACCACCACCAUCACCAUUUUUCACAUCACUCUCAUCACCAUAACUACCAUCACAUCACCACCAUCACCAUCAUCAUCAUCACCAUCCCAUCACCUUCACCACCAUCAUCACCAUCAUCUCAUCUUUACCAUCAUUAUUACCAUCAUCAUUAUCAUCAUCAUCAUCUCAUUAUUAUCACCACCACCACCACUACCAUCACAUCAUCACUAUCAUCACUGUCUCCACCACCAUCACCAUCACCAUCAAAAGGUGGGUGUAGUGCUCUGUACCUGUGGGCACUACAUCACUAUCACCACCAUCAUUAUUACUAUCAUCAUUAUCAUCACAAUCUCAUCAUUAUCACCACCACCACCAUUAUAUUUCUCACCACUGUUGUCACCAUUAUCAUCACUACCGCCACCAUCUCAUCACCAUCACCAUCCUCAUCAUCCAGACUCAUUAUAUUGUUGGUAAUGUGGCUGGUUUGGGGAAAAUUGUGCAGAACAGGUCAGCUAUGA
rnacentral:lncRNA from 1 species